rnacentral:rRNA from 1 species
GCGACCCCAGGUCAGGCGGAAUUACCCGCUGAGUUUAA